AUGGCUGUCGUCAGCUCGUGUCGUGAGAUGUUGGGUUAAGUCCCGUAACGAGCGCAACCCUUGUCCUUAGUUGCCAGCACAUAAUGGUGGGAACUCUAAGGAGACUGCCGGUGACAAACCGGAGGAAGGUGGGGACGACGUCAAGUCAUCAUGGCCCUUACGGCCUGGGCUACACACGUGCUACAAUGGCUAGGACAGACGGCCGCAAACCCGCGAGGGGGAGCUAAUCCGACAAACCUAGUCGUAGUCCGGAUCGGAGUCUGCAACUCGACUCCGUGAAGUCGGAAUUGCUAGUAAUCGCGAAUCAGAAUGUCGCGGUGAAUACGUUCCCGGGCCUUGUACACACCGCCCGUCACACCAUGGGAGUGGGUUGCUCCAGAAGUGGUUAGUCUAACCUUCGGGAGGACGAUCACCACGGAGUGAUUCAUGACUGGGGUGAAGUCGUAACAAGGUAGCCCUAGGGGAACCUGGGGCUGGAUCACCUCCUUAAACGAUUGUGAAAUCACCCUUCAAGUGUUCACACAUCUGUCUUUAUCUGCGCGGUUGAUGCGAUGGUGGCAGCAAUGCCAUCAAGAGUGUGCCACGAUGCUCUGAGCCAACGGUUAUGCCGCAGGUGGCAGAACUGGCAAAGCAGGCUGUUGUCCUCACUUUUACGAGUGCGGGGAGAACGCCCUCAGGCAGAGCGGCAGAAGUCACGCUAGGCCUGUAGCUCAGUUGGUUAGAGCGCACCCCUGAUAAGGGUGAGGUCGGCAGUUCAAAUCUGCCCAGGCCUACCAAGCACUUUGGGGCUAUAGCUCAGCUGGGAGAGCGCCUGCCUUGCACGCAGGAGGUCUGCGGUUCGAUCCCGCAUAGCUCCACCAACUCUUUUCGCAUCGAACUCAGACAAGGGCGCAUACCGUGUGCCCUUGUCUGGUUUCAACAACCAGAGUGUUCUUUAACAAGGUAAAUUAAGCUGAGUCUCUGAAUCAGCACUGUGUGGCAAGGUUCGCUUUGCUUCCUGUGGUGGUUCAGUGAUUAAAAAUUUUCAAGUGCCGUCUCAAUUCCGGCGCUUGGAACGAGUUAUACACACUGUGACUUAAGCGUCACAAUAUCCGGCGGAUAUUCACUUUGAUCGGUGAGUAUCUUGUAAGUACCUGGCCUUUGCCAAAGGGGGUCAGGGAAAUGUCUUCUUGGAAGCCCUUGUAGUGUGAGGGUGUUUAAUUCAGAUAGUUUGGAUUAUAUGGUCAAGUGACUAAGCGCAUACGGUGGAUGCCUUGGCAGUCAGAGGCGAUGAAGGACGUUGUAGCCUGCGAAAAGCUUCGGGGAGUCGGCAAACAGACUUUGAUCCGGAGAUGUCCGAAUGGGGAAACCCGG
rnacentral:sRNA from 1 species